rnacentral:rRNA from 1 species
ACUCUUUUGAGGCCCCGCAAUUGAAAUGAGUACACUCUAAAUCCUUUAACGAGGAUCAAUUGGAGGGCAAGUCUGGUGCCAGCAGCCGCGGUAAUUCCAGCUCCAAUAGCGUAUACUAAAGCUGCUGCGGUUAAAAAGCUCGUAGUUGGAUCUCAGUUCCAGACGAGUAGUGCAUCUACCCGAUGCGACGGCUCGGACUGAACAUCAUGCCGGUCGUUUCUUGGUGCACUUCAUUGUGUGCCUCGAGAUGGCCGGUGCUUUUACUUUGAAAAAAUUAGAGUGCUCAACGCAGGCGAGUCGCCUGAAUAAACUUGCAUGGAAUAAUAGAACAAGAUCCUGUUUCUGUUCUGUUGGUUUUUGGAAUACAGGAUAAUGAUUAAGAGGGACAGACGGGGGCAUUCGUAUUGCGGCGCUAGAGGUGAAAUUCUUGGACCGUCGCAAGACGAACUACUGCGAAAGCAUUUGCCAAGAAUGUUUUCUUUGAUCAAGAACGAAAGUUAGAGGUUCGAAGGCGAUCAGAUACCGCCCUAGUUCUAACCAUAAACGAUGCCAACCAGCGAUCCGCCUGAGUUACUCAAAUGACUCGGCGGGCAGCUUCCGGGAAACCAAAGUAUUUGGGUUCCGGGGGAAGUAUGGUUGCAAAGCUGAAACUUAAAGGAAUUGACGGAAGGGCACCACCAGGAGUGGAGCCUGCGGCUUAAUUUGACUCAACACGGGAAAACUUACCCGGCCCGGACACUGGGAGGAUUGACAGAUUGAGAGCUCUUUCUUGAUUCGGUGGAUGGUGGUGCAUGGCCGUUCUUAGUUGGUGGAGCGAUUUGUCUGGUUAAUUCCGAUAACGAACGAGACUCUAGCCUAUUAAAUAGGUGCGGGGUUCCCAGCACCUUACAACCUUCUUAGAGGGACAAGCGGCUCCUAGCCGCACGAAACAGAGCAAUAACAGGUCUGUGAUGCCCUUAGAUGUCCGGGGCCGCACGCGCGCUACACUGAAGGAGGCAGCGUGUUUUUUUCCCUGUCUGAAAAGACUGGGUAACCCGUGGAACUUCCUUCGUGAUUGGGAUAGGGGCUUGCAAUUGUUCCCCUUGAACGAGGAAUUCCCAGUAAGCGCGAGUCAUAAGCUCGCGUUGAUUACGUCCCUGCCCUUUGUACACACCGCCCGUCGCUACUACCGAUUGAAUGAUUUAGUGAGGUCUUCGGACCGAUGUCCGGCGCGGCCUUUCGGUUGCGCCGGUCUGUUGGAAAGAUGACCAAACUUGAUCAUUUAGAGGAAGUAAAAGUCGUAACAAGGUUUCCGUAGGUGAACCUGCGGAAG